AUUGCUUAAUGCGUUACUGCGUCACCGAAAUGCAUGCAUCCCGACAACUAGCAAUCAUCGUUUACGGCGUGGACUACCAGGGUAUCUAAUCCUGUUUGCUCCCCACGCUUUCGAGCCUCAGCGUCAGUAAUGAGCCAGUGUGUCGCCUUCGCCACUGGUGUUCUUCCGAAUAUCUACGAAUUUCACCUCUACACUCGGAGUUCCACACACCUCUCUCAUACUCAAGACACCCAGUAUCAAAGGCAAUUCCGAGGUUGAGCCCCGGGAUUUCACCCCUGACUUAAAUGUCCGCCUACGCUCCCUUUACGCCCAGUAAUUCCGAGCAACGCUAGCCCCCUUCGUAUUACCGCGGCUGCUGGCACGAAGUUAGCCGGGGCUUCUUCUCCGGGUACCGUCAUUAUCGUCCCCGGUGAAAGAAUUUUACAAUCCUAAGACCUUCAUCAUUCACGCGGCAUGGCUGCGUCAGGCUUUCGCCCAUUGCGCAAGAUUCCCCACUGCUGCCUCCCGUAGAGUUUGGGCCGUGUCUCAGUCCCAAUGUGGCUGAUCAUCCUCUCAGACCAGCUACUGAUCGUCGCCUUGGUGAGCCUUUACCUCACCAACUAGCUAAUCAGACGCGGGCCGCUCCAAUGGCGAUAAAUCUUU
rnacentral:rRNA from 1 species